rnacentral:lncRNA from 1 species
AUGCCUUUUCCCACUGCAGGAAGAAACUCAUUUUCAGGGAGGGACUCCCGAAACACAGAAAAUAUGUUCCAGACACUAACUAGAUAUGAUGAAUUCAUGCAUCAUAUCUGGGCAUUGGGGCUCCAGUGGGCAACAGAUAACUACUUUCCUUUAGUUAAUAAAGUGCCCAGAAGAUGGUCGAGAGGCAAACCUUUUUUUAAAAGCUCUGCUCUGUUUAACACCACUGAUCACUUUGCUUCUUUUGCAGGUGUCCUCAGACCCUGGAAAUCCAAAAUGCAAAUGAAGAAGAAAUCAGGAGGUGUAAACACUGAAGGGAAUGAAUGUUUUCUGAAAUCCAGGCAGAAGGUACAACUGCUUCUAAGUCUCUGGAAGGUUCCAGUGUCCCAGGAGUUCCACAUGCACUCUAAGAUGAUUAUACCACUUUGCUACCAGCUUGCAGUAUUUUCAGUGCUGCAGAAAAGAGUUGCUGCACGAUGAGGAUUUCUGGCGAUGAGAAGCAGAGCUCAUCACUGGCAGGUUAGAUUCUGAAUCAUGGCCUACUAACUAAACCCCGGAGUGCCACACCUUGGAAACACAGAAGACAGAAGUCUCAGUGCGUCAUUUUUCUAGUUGCUUUCAAGGUAUCAUUAAGUGCUGCCUAAGAGUACCCUUCUAGUGCAAAAUGUGUUGUUCAGGAUUCUGUCCAGAUGCUGUUGGGCUGCUUCAAGGAGACUUCAAAUGGUCCUACUAGUGAGCCACCUUAUCGACCUUCACUCUGACAUUUGGCUUGGCUGCGUUUGAAGUGGUCCCAUGAGUGAGUCAUCUUACCGACCUUCACUUUGCCAUUUGGCUCGACUGCAUAUCAGAUGUUGUUGAAACCAAAACUAGUGGAUCCCUCUUCUUUCCAGGGAAGACUACAUUUUAGAAAUCUCCACAAUUACAACUUUAAACUGAAGCCAGAAAAUACAUUUUUUUGAAACUAAUCAGUCAGCAGAUCACCUGUCAUCCAACUGUGUGCCAUAUACAUAUAAUUUCAAGAAACAUUGGCCAUCAAGUACUUAAAAUUUUAGGGAUUUGGGCAACACCCAAUGCAGAACAGAUGAAUUUCAUGGUUUCUUUAUGCAUUUGCACAAAUUAAAAUAUAAGUCUUCACUUGGUUCGUUUGAACCCCUUUCUUCAAUUAGCUCUGUAUGCAGAGAAGGCCAGACAGCAGUUUUCAGAGAGCAAUCAAGAUUCUUCUGCAUGUUGUUACCUCUGUGUGUGAACGCCACUCUGACAGGGCAAAUUCUUGGAUUAAAAGUUGAUUGUACUCUAGCAGUUCUUCUUAUAACUGGUUUUGUAAACACAAAUGUUCAAAAUCACAAAAACUCUUUUCAAACAGUUAUUUUCUUUUCAGAUACAAGAACAGUAGGUAUAAGCUUCCCAAAGGUAGAUCUUACAUCCAAAUAAUACGUGUGUGUGUGUGUGUGUGUGUGUGUGUGUGUGUGUGUGUAUGCGUGUAUGCGUGUAUGCUUGUGUGUAUGUAUGUAUGUAUGUAUGUAUGUAUGUAUGUACGUAUGUAUGUAUGUAUGUAUGUGUGUGUGUUUAUGGAGCUAUAGGUUGAUUGACCUUAGUUGUCUUCCUUGAUUCCUCUCUAUCUUACUUUUUGAGACAGGAUCUCUCACUGAACCUGGAAUUUGUUGACUUAGUUAAUCUGGCUAGCCAGCAAAUCCCAGAGAUUCUCCUACAUCGGCCUUUUGGGUCCCAGGAUUACUGGUGCUCACCAGUAAUCUAUGUAGACCCCAGGGUUCCAAACUCCAGUUCUCAUGCUUGUAUGGCAUCUGAGCUAUCUUCCCAGCCCCUGGCCUAUCAUAUUUUAAAAAACGAUUCCAAUUACAAUAUUUUAAUUUCAUAGUUUGAACAGCCUUUAAAGGAGUUACUGAUUUCACAGUAAAACUUUUGCAACCUGCAGCAAAUCAGUGAAGUAAAUCAGGCUUGGAAGACUGAAUAGGUGAUAACUUAAAUAGCAAUAAAUUUCUGGUCUUCUAACCCUAGAUGAAUAUU